rnacentral:rRNA from 1 species
GAUGAACGCUGGCGGCGUGCCUAAUACAUGCAAGUCGAGCGAACGGACGCUGAGCUUGCGUGUCUGAUGUUAGCGGCGGACGUGUGAGUAACACGUGUAUACCCUACCUAUAAUACUGGGAUAACUUCGAGAAACCGGAUCUAAUACCGGAUAAUAUUUUGAACCGCGUGGUUCAAAGGUGAAAGACGGUCUUGCUGUCACUUAUAGCUGGAUCCGCGCUGCAUUAGCUAGUUGGUAAGUUAACGGCUUACCAAGGCAACGAGGCAUAAACGAACUGGGAGGGUGAUAGGCCACCCGGGAACUGAGCCAGGGUCAAGACUACUAAGGGAGGCAGCAGUAGGGAACCUUACGCAAUAGGCGAAAGCAUGACGGAGUAAGGCCGCGUGAGUGAUGAAGGUCCUCGGAUCGUAAAACUCUGCUAUUAGGGAAGAACAUAUGUGUAAGUAAAUGUGCACAUCUUGACGGUACUUAAUAAGAAAGCAACGGCUAACUACGUG